GGAAGUGGUAGCUCAGCGGUUAAGAUGUUGGUCUUCUGAUCGGAAGGUUGUGAGUUCUAACCUCAGCACUGCCA